rnacentral:rRNA from 1 species
GGUUAAGCGACUAAGCGUACACGGUGGAUGCCCUGGCAGUCAGAGGCGAUGAAGGACGUGCUAAUCUGCGAAAAGCGUCGGUAAGGUGAUAUGAACCGUUAUAACCGGCGAUGUCCGAAUGGGGAAACCCAGUGCAAUUCGUUGCACUAUCGUUAACUGAAUACAUAGGUUAACGAGGCGAACCGGGGGAACUGAAACAUCUAAGUACCCCGAGGAAAAGAAAUCAACCGAGAUUCCCCCAGUAGCGGCGAGCGAACGGGGAGCAGCCCAGAGUCUGAAUCAGCUUGUGUGUUAGUGGAACGGUCUGGAAAGUCCGACGGUACAGGGUGAUAGUCCCGUACACCAAAAUGCACAGGCUGUGAACUCGAAGAGUAGGGCGGGACACGUGGUAUCCUGUCUGAAUAUGGGGGGACCAUCCUCCAAGGCUAAAUACUCCUGACUGACCGAUAGUGAACCAGUACCGUGAGGGAAAGGCGAAAAGAACCCCGGCGAGGGGAGUGAAAAAGAACCUGAAACCGUGUACGUACAAGCAGUGGGAGCACCUUCGGGUGUGACUGCGUACCUUUUGUAUAAUGGGUCAGCGACUUAUAUUCUGUAGCAAGGUUAACCGUAUAGGGGAGCCGCAGGGAAACCGAGUCUUAACUGGGCGUUAAGUUGCAGGGUAUAGACCCGAAACCCGGUGAUCUAGCCAUGGGCAGGUUGAAGGUUGGGUAACACUAACUGGAGGACCGAACCGACUAAUGUUGAAAAAUUAGCGGAUGACUUGUGGCUGGGGGUGAAAGGCCAAUCAAACCGGGAGAUAGCUGGUUCUCCCCGAAAGCUAUUUAGGUAGCGCCUCGUGAAUUCAUCUUCGGGGGUAGAGCACUGUUUCGGCUAGGGGGUCAUCCCGACUUACCAACCCGAUGCAAACUACGAAUACCGAAGAAUGUUAUCACGGGAGACACACGGCGGGUGCUAACGUCCGUCGUGAAGAGGGAAACAACCCAGACCGCCAGCUAAGGUCCCAAAGUCAUGGUUAAGUGGGAAACGAUGUGGGAAGGCACAGACAGCCAGGAUGUUGGCUUAGAAGCAGCCAUCAUUUAAAGAAAGCGUAAUAGCUCACUGGUCGAGUCGGCCUGCGCGGAAGAUGUAACGGGGCUAAACCAUGCACCGAAGCUGCGGCAGCGACACUAUGUGUUGUUGGGUAGGGGAGCGUUCUGUAAGCCUGCGAAGGUGUGCUGUGAGGCAUGCUGGAGGUAUCAGAAGUGCGAAUGCUGACAUAAGUAACGAUAAAGCGGGUGAAAAGCCCGCUCGCCGGAAGACCAAGGGUUCCUGUCCAACGUUAAUCGGGGCAGGGUGAGUCGACCCCUAAGGCGAGGCCGAAAGGCGUAGUCGAUGGGAAACAGGUUAAUAUUCCUGUACUUGGUGUUACUGCGAAGGGGGGACGGAGAAGGCUAUGUUAGCCGGGCGACGGUUGUCCCGGUUUAAGCAUGUAGGCUGGUUGUCCAGGCAAAUCCGGAUAAUCAAGGCUGAGGUGUGAUGACGAGGCACUACGGUGCUGAAGUAACAAAUGCCCUGCUUCCAGGAAAAGCCUCUAAGCAUCAGGUAACAUUAAAUCGUACCCCAAACCGACACAGGUGGUCAGGUAGAGAAUACCAAGGCGCUUGAGAGAACUCGGGUGAAGGAACUAGGCAAAAUGGUGCCGUAACUUCGGGAGAAGGCACGCUGGUGUGUAGGUGAAGUCCCUGCGGAUGGAGCUGAGACCAGUCGAAGAUACCAGCUGGCUGCAACUGUUUAUUAAAAACACAGCACUGUGCAAACACGAAAGUGGACGUAUACGGUGUGACGCCUGCCCGGUGCCGGAAGGUUAAUUGAUGGGGUUAUCCGUAAGGAGAAGCUCUUGAUCGAAGCCCCGGUAAACGGCGGCCGUAACUAUAACGGUCCUAAGGUAGCGAAAUUCCUUGUCGGGUAAGUUCCGACCUGCACGAAUGGCGUAAUGAUGGCCAGGCUGUCUCCACCCGAGACUCAGUGAAAUUGAACUCGCUGUGAAGAUGCAGUGUACCCGCGGCAAGACGGAAAGACCCCGUGAACCUUUACUAUAGCUUGACACUGAACAUUGAGCCUUGAUGUGUAGGAUAGGUGGGAGGCUUUGAAGCGUGGACGCCAGUCUGCGUGGAGCCAACCUUGAAAUACCACCCUUUAAUGUUUGAUGUUCUAACGUUGGCCCCUGACCGGGGUUGCGGACAGUGUCUGGUGGGUAGUUUGACUGGGGCGGUCUCCUCCCAAAGCGUAACGGAGGAGCACGAAGGUUAGCUAAUCCUGGUCGGACAUCAGGAGGUUAGUGCAAUGGCAUAAGCUAGCUUGACUGCGAGCGUGACGGCGCGAGCAGGUGCGAAAGCAGGUCAUAGUGAUCCGGUGGUUCUGAAUGGAAGGGCCAUCGCUCAACGGAUAAAAGGUACUCCGGGGAUAACAGGCUGAUACCGCCCAAGAGUUCAUAUCGACGGCGGUGUUUGGCACCUCGAUGUCGGCUCAUCACAUCCUGGGGCUGAAGUAGGUCCCAAGGGUAUGGCUGUUCGCCAUUUAAAGUGGUACGCGAGCUGGGUUUAGAACGUCGUGAGACAGUUCGGUCCCUAUCUGCCGUGGGCGCUGGAGAAUUGAGGGGGGCUGCUCCUAGUACGAGAGGACCGGAGUGGACGCAUCACUGGUGUUCGGGUUGUCAUGCCAAUGGCACUGCCCGGUAGCUAAAUGCGGAAGAGAUAAGUGCUGAAAGCAUCUAAGCACGAAACUUGCCCCGAGAUGAGUUCUCCCUGAGACUUUAAGUCUCCUGAAGGAACGUUAAAGACGAUGACGUUGAUAGGCCGGGUGUGUAAGCGCAGCGAUGCGUUGAGCUAACCGGUACUAAUGAACCGUGAGGCUUAACCUU